UUACUCGUAUUUUUGAGGUAAACAGUUUGGCGUCCACCGUGGGGCUAAAGAUAAUAGUGAUUGUUUCUUUGCUGAUUUUCGUUACACAUGUUAUCUUUACACUUUUUCUUGUCAAGAUUUGUUGAUUUUCAGGCUGAAACAUGUCUAGCACACAAAACGCACCUGUCCAUGCAGGUAUUUUACCACAAGAGCAAGCAAUGAAAAAGAUGUCAAGGCCAUAUUCGGUGGGAAAAAGAAAUAAUCAUCAGCCAACUUUUCAACAUAAUUCGAAACCUCCACUUUAAAAAUGAAGUCAACAAACAGUGGCCUAAAAUAAAAUGCAGAUUUGGAAAGGUGACGAACAAACUGAAGUAGCUUGAAACAAUCAAUACACUUCUUAUGUCAAGGAAAACACAAUAGUCGAUAAUGGACAAUGCCAUGUUCCAAACGUAGAAAUAUCUGCCUUCGUGUGAAGAAGAUUAAUACUACCUCCUGUCCACAUUAUUUUUAUCAUUUUUGUAACCUAAAUUUAUUUUGAGACAUUUAAGAAAUUAAAAAUUAA